rnacentral:lncRNA from 1 species
CUUUAAAAAAUAAGAAAAAGGAAAACCAAUGUUAAGUGUUCCCUUUUUCUUUCCUGUUUGAAUAGUUGCCUUCCAAAAACAGCACAGCUCUAUCAGACAGUAUUCCAGCAAGGAAAGCCACUGGACUGGGGGACAGCUACGACUCCCUGCCCAAGCCCAAAGCCAGGCCCAUCAAAUCUCCCGUAGCUGGUCAGAAGCUACCUAUGACCAGAGUGACACUGAAGGAAGGAUCAGAGCUCUGAAGGAUGAACUGCAUCCAAGAAAACUUGUUGCUGAUCAGUUAAGGAACAGAGAAGCAGCAGCAGAGAGGUUGAGAGCCCAAGAAGCAAGUCAGAGCAGAGGUAAGAAAUGGGAGGAAAACAGGUUUUGGCACCAAGAUUUCUUGCUCUGUGGGAAAGUCCAGGGCUCUUUGUUCAACUGCAAUGGAUGAGUUGAUUUAAAUAAUCACUAAUAGUGUGAGCUGAAUUUCAUGCUGACCUUUUUUUGGUUCCAGCAAUCAGGAUCAAAUUUGAAUUUAAGCAAAACAAUAAAAGGUUAGUGAAUUGGAAAUGCCACCAUUUUGAGUGGACUGGUUUUAAAUAUUGCCUAAGUGCUUGUGUAUUCACAUCCCCCUCUUUACACUUGCAUACAAAUCAUCAUUGUUUCCCAUGAGCUGUAAUUUAUUUUAGGGUCUGUGUACCCCAGGCAGAGAUCUAGUCUACUAGACUGAAGAUAAUCUAGGCCACUUCAGCAAAUCAAUAAAUCUAAUAUCUGUUGAGUACUUACCUCAGCAGAGUUCUAUACUGAGUGCUUGGAGACUUACUAGACAUGAUCCCUAGCCUCAAAAAGAGUUUACAGUUUAGCUGGUUAGACAGACACUUCUUAAAUUUAUAGGUAGGACAGGAGGAAAAGCCAAAGUGGAUCUGAAGGUGUGAGAGCACAGAUAGUAGGGUAGGUAUAAAAGAAGUACAGGUGGUUGUGAGCACACAAAUGGUUGUUUGAGGCUUAAAACUUGGGCAGAGGAGAUAUUAAAACCCUGGUAUCGAUUUCUACCGUAGGCUCCUUAUUGAAGGGGAGCAUUAUGCCACAAAAUCUCUUGGUAUUUUCAAAGCAGAAUUUUAGACUAAUUCUGAAUUGCAUAGUACUUAAUGCAC